AGUGAACGCUGGCGGUAGGCCUAACACAUGCAAGUCGAACGGCAGCACAGUAAGAGCUUGCUCUUACGGGUGGCGAGUGGCGGACGGGUGAGGAAUACAUCGGAAUCUACUUUUUCGUGGGGGAUAACGUAGGGAAACUUACGCUAAUACCGCAUACGACCUACGGGUGAAAGCAGGGGAUCUUCGGACCUUGCGCGAUUGAAUGAGCCGAUGUCGGAUUAGCUAGUUGGCGGGGUAAAGGCCCACCAAGGCGACGAUCCGUAGCUGGUCUGAGAGGAUGAUCGGCGACACUGGAGCUGAGACACGGUCCAUACUCCUACGGGAGGCAGCAGUGGGGAAUAUUGGACAAUGGGCGCAAGCCCGAUCCAGCCAUACCGCGUGGGUGAAGAAGGCCUUCGGGUUGUAAAGCCCUUUUGUUGGGAAAGAAAAGCAGCAGGUUAAUACCCCGCUGUUCUGACGGUACCCAAAGAAUAAGCACCGGCUAACUUCGUG
rnacentral:rRNA from 1 species